ACUUUAUCUUUCAAACUUGACAUAAGUGUUGUGCAAACAUCUUCAUGUUUUUCUAACUAAAAACCUGGACUCAAGUCCUUGACCUUUUUUCAAACUUCAUUUCAUAAUACUUAUUUGAAUUGAUCUUAAUCAUACUUUGACUCCAUUUUCAUAAUCAUAAUCAAUAACUCCACCCAUUCACCUGUUUUGGCUUUGUCCA
rnacentral:lncRNA from 1 species